rnacentral:antisense_RNA from 1 species
AGCUUUGGAUUCAUAAGCUCAGUAAAUUAAGGAAUUUCACAUUAUGAACUUAAUUUGAGAUGGGUUGGACUGGUGAUACCUGGAAGGGGUAAAUGAGAAUCCACUCUGGAGGCACUUUAUGCCUGAGGGAGCAUCCACAAAUAAUUUUUCAGGGGCUGGAAACCUAACAAUUUCACGUCCUAGACAACUUGCUAAAAGUCACCUAAAGACAGUCUGGUUACUGCCAAAGAUAUGCUUUCAAAUAAGAUUUGGAUAAAGAAGGGAGGUAGAUGCCUUUUUUCAGCAGUGGAGUGAUGUCUAGACCAGUAGAUGUACGCAUCUAAGUGAAUUCAUCACCAGCAACAAUUUCCAGAAACUUCCUGACCUCCAGAUUGCAGCUUCAUUAGUGUGAGUUUAAAGCCAACUAGAUGCCAUUCUCAGAUUCCACGCAUAUGGCCAAGGGUCCAGGAAAUAAGAAGAAACAGGAUUGAGGGGUUGGUGUUAUGGGGCAUUUACUUGAAUUUUCUAUGCUAUAAUUGUCUCAUCUUUAAAAUGGUGAUAAUAAUAAAAUGGUCAGUUAUUAAAUAAAUUAACACAGUGAAA